rnacentral:lncRNA from 1 species
UUUUAAAACAUUUUAAUAGCUUUAUUAGAAAAAUGAUUCAUACUCCUUGUAAAAUGCUUACAUAAUAUAGAAAAGAACAAAGCAGAAACUAACAACAUUAUAUCAAAUUUCUCCACUCAAAGAUAGUCACUGUUAAUCUCUGGGAAAAAUAAUUCUACCCAUAUUUAUAUACAUAAAUAUACAUAUAGUUAUAUGUAUACAGUUUUACAUAAAACAAAUCAUAUUCUACAUGCUUUUCUAGACAUUGCUUCACUUGACAUUAAGUAAUGAAUAUCUUUCCUUGUCAAUAAAUAUAAUUCUUCAUCAUACAUUUUGAUGGCUGCAUAGUAUUUCAUUUUCUAGAUGAAUCAUAAUUUUAAUACUUUACUUACUAGUCCUAAUUGACGGACAUUUCAAUUGGAUCCUUUUCCCCUCUUUUAUUUUGCUGUUAUUGCUGCUAUAAAUAUUAGGGGCACCCCUCAUUCUUCUCCUAACAUAAAUUGUGAGAAAUAGUCACAAUUGUAGCUGAAGAAAGGACGCAAGAAUCACAACAUGCCAUGUCAGCGAAAGGAGAUUUGGAGUGGGGAAGGUCCUAGUAACAUUUUAGUGAUUCUUCCCUCUAUAAAUGGCUUCCAAUCUGAUGUACAUUACUGCAUAUGCAGUUUAUUAUGCUUGACGGGAAAAUAUAUUUACAGAAAGUUACUUUGAGUAUUCCAGUGGAUUUAUUUCAACAUUAACAAUUUUGCCUCCCAAAAGAACCAUGAUCUUCUCAGGAGUGUCUUUUGUUCCAGAGAUCCUGGAUUCACACAAGCAUGAUGCCCUGUGCCCAGGAAAUUUCUACUUUCAAGAUCAAACCAUUCCAGAAGCCAUCUGAGAGUUUCCCCAAUGGCCAGUGAGGCAAUGUGCAGUGUUUGGAAGAAACAGCAGCCCCGUGUCAGCCCCAGAGCAAUGCCUACUGGCUUUCCAUCCUAGGAAUCUGCCUGCUCUGCUCCAUCACCAACCUUAUAUAUGAGACCUGUCUGUCAGCUCUACCUGAUUCCUUUGUGUGGGUCCACUUUAGUAGUUCCUCUUCCGGACCUGGACUAGGAAAUCCAGAACCUAUAAAUGCAGAAUUCCUUUCUGGAAAUGCGCACUCUCCAUAUCACCACUCUGAAAACCCCAGAGCUCACUUCUACAUAAGCAAAGCUCCUAAUACAAUUGGGAGUCGGUCUAGUGCCAGCUCUGUAUCCCAUCACUUUAUCUGUAGCAGAGCAAAAAGGAUCCUUGACUUGCAGCUUGGACUUUGUGCAGCGGCAUCUCUUCCUGUCCCCUGCCCGUGUAACAUGGGUAGGUAAGAUGCCUGCUUGGAAUGAGUGCCAAGCUGACGGUCUUUGCAUGCUGCUUUUGGUCUUGUGCUUUGCACAGUAGGAAAAGGUAUGCAUUGCUUGGUGCCAGAUGCAUGGAACUAAGAAAGGGGAGAAUAUUCUUUCCAUCUUUUCCUAGUCUUUUAUACAUCUCAGUGUUCUAGCCCCCUUCCCUGAAACGACGCAAAAUUGAACAGGAUAAAAAUAUGCAUAGUUUAAAGUCUCCACUUUAAGCACAGCUUAAAUCCCCAUUAAUCACCACAUUUAGAGGUGACCAAAGCAUGCAGUGUCAGAUCAGAAGGGAAUGGAUCUGGCCCUACACCUGACUGGGAGCCAGAAUGCUGGGGCUCAGGGUCCUUGAAGAAAACAAACAAGCCAUCCUGGCCACUAGAUGGUGCUGAGAGAUAGUCUCCAAUGUGCUGGCAGUCAUGUCCAGGGCUUCCAUACUGAGGGCAGGUUUGUCAUCAGAACUCACCCCCUUUUACAAAGAGGGGAGGGCAAAGAGAGCUUCCAGUAGGGUAUGAGCCCUGACACACCAUCGAAAACCCUGAGCACAACAAGGAGAAGUCCUGACCAUCAAGGGAGAUAAUAGACCUAUUGGUUCAGGCCAAGCCACUAGGGGCAGGGCAGAGGGAGCUGCAAUGGCUUGGUCAGCUCAUUCUAUCCAUGUGUUUCACUUAUUUCCUUUUCUGUGAAUCCCAGGGUACUUGUGGCUCACUCAUUGCAACCUUUCAGCCUGGAAGGUGCCCCGCAAGGGAACCCACACAUCCCUGAGCAGAGGCAAGACCUGAGUGGCUAAAGGCGUGGUCUUUAGAGUCAGGCAGGGCAGGGUUUGUGUCCUGGCUUGGCCACUUGCUUGCUAUCUGAGCUUAGCCAUGACACUUGGUCUUCGUGAGCCUCAGUCUAUGCAUCUAUAAAAUGGAGAUAAAAAUGGCUUCAGCUCCAGAGAAUUGUGAGAAUUAAGAUGAUUCCUCUGUUUCAGCUCGGGAGCCGGAGGUUGCAGUGAGCCGAUAUCGCACCAUUGCACUCCAGCCUGGGCAACAAGAGUGAAACUCCAUCUCAAAAAAAAAGAUGAUUCCUCCUAAAAUGUUUAGUGGGUCAGGAACAAAGUCAGCCCUCAAUAAAUAUGGCUUUAAAUGUUUCGAUUUUUAAUUAGGAGAUUAGAAAGAAAGAUUUCAUUUGUUUGCAGUGCCCUGCAAUGGCUGGCUGUGUCCCCGGUGUGUUUUGGUGAAGUUGCUUCUAUUCCCAUUCAGCAAUUCUCAGAUAAACCAACAAUGUGUUUUGUACCGCAGCAGCCCCUCAUUCCCCAGCAUGACCCUGGUGAAGUGUCCAUUAAUUCCUUAUCUCCAGGCUGAGGAUGGCAGCCACGAAGGUCCUGCUUCUAUUUUACAGUUAGGUGAGGCACAAAGAGUUGCUGAGAUGUCCUCAGAUUGCGGAGCAAAGUAGUGGCUGAGCAAGAACUCACUCACAGCUCUGCAUGUAGGACCCCACCCCAGACCUCUGGCCUCUUCCUGUCAGCGAAAGUAGUGGCUUUGAGGAGGGGAGGUCAAGGAGCAUGAAGAGGCCCUCCAAAGUCCAGUUGCCCUGUACUGAGCCACCUACUCCUCCACGCUCUCCCUCUCCUACAGUGGCCCACUGUGGACACUCGGCAAGCACAUGAUGAAUGUAUGAACACAGGACCUCUCGUAGUUCAGCUCUGAGAUGGGCUGGUGGGGACUCAGAUAGAUUGGAGUGUGAGGGUGAGGUAGGGCUGGGAGACUUUCCUUUCUCUUGGCUUGGGUCUGUCUUCUGCUGAGGAGAUAAUAAUAACAACCAGCAUCUACUGAGUACUUACUGAGUGCCAAGAACUGAGCUAGGUGCCAAAGCUGGAAUUUGAACUCUGGAAGUUGAACCCCACUGUCAGCAUGAAAACCCAUUGUCUACAGCGGCCACACAUGUGUCCCAGAAAAGUAAAGGGUCACUGGCAGCUCUCUGACAGGCCUGGGUUUCCUUGGCUUCUUGGAGCCCUAGUCUCUCCCCACACAGGCUCCCUGGGCUGUUGGAGAACCUGCCACCUACUUAAAGCUGGUCCCUGCCCAGUUCCUCCCUCCCCCAAUUGAUGUGAGCAGCCAUUGUUCUCAUCUUUGAUGAAAGCUGUUGGAGAAAUAAGACAGCUGCUUUAAAACUAGGAUGUUGCAAACUCUAAAAUGAUCUAGAAUUGCAGUCAGAUGGCUGGAUUUACCUGAUCCUCAUUCCCUGAGCUCCACCAGCUCCCAACUCAGGUGCUCUUUCUCCCUCCCUCUCCUGUCCCUAUCCCAUUAAGCCCCCAUUCACCUGGCUCUCUCUUGCCCGUAUAACCCGCAGCUGCAGCGGACAGAGCAUUUUGCAUUGAUAUGUGUUGUAAUUACAUCAGUUCCGCCCUGGCAGUUGCUCUCUGAGAAAAAUCACUCAAGGGCAUACCAGUCAAUACAGACCCCAGACAGGUGCGUGACAAUGCAGACUCCUGGGCCCACUGAUCUGAAUAGCUAGAGGUGGCCUGGAAUCUGUAUUUUCAGAUCAGCAUUUUAAGACAUGAGGUUAGAUUUGGAAUCACUGCCCACCUCCUCAUUGGAAUCCUUCUCCACCAGGCCCUCCUUCCAUGCUGCUCCUCCUGGGUACUUUCCAGCUCCCUAGUCUUUGGGCGCCUUGCUAGUCCUUUACACCUCUACACCUUCAAGUUCCCUCCUCAUUUCAUAAUAUUUACUAGAUUCCAAUAAUAUGCCAGGCACUGAGGCAGGCCCUUUAUCUCCAUCUUUAUAAUAACUCUCUAAGGAAGGAAUUCUGAUUCCUGAUUUACAAACGAGGAACACCUUCCCUCCCCUCCCCAUCCGCUGCCUGGCUCUCUCUGGCUCCCAUACCCACAGGUAUACUGAACAGAUUAUUUGCAGUGAAUGUAUGUGGUAACUGCAUUACUUCCACCCUGUGUCCCCUGGGUGGAAGAGCCAGGAUUCAAGGACAGGCAUGUCUAGUUCUAAAGCCUGUGCCCAGAGUUGAUAGGUCACACUUGCCACACUUUCCUUCCUAGCACAGUGGCUGGAAAAUAGCAAGUAUUCAAUAGAUAUUUGUUAGUGAGUAACUGAAUGAAUAAAUGAAAGAAGAGUCCAUACUUAAAGUUAGGACACUUCCUCCCAUCUUUCCAUACCCAUCUCACAUGCACACAUAUACACGCUCACACACACACUGAGGAUUUAGCCACUGGGCCAUUUCCUUUCCUUCCUAACUGGCCCUUCUCUGCAUGUCCAAUCACUGCCUUCCUAGCCCCACUUAGAUGGUGACUCUUGACACUCUGCUCUAACCCAUGGUUACCUCACCUCUCAUGUCCCAUGGUGGCUAAUCCUGACAAUCACCGAAGAGCCAAAUUGCUCCCAAAGAUUCAGCAGUAGAAGUAACCUCCUGACUUCUUUGUGACCCAAGGCAGAGAGCAGAAGCCUGGACUAGGACUGGCCCCAAGUUUCCUGGGAGUCUGAAACUCCCUUCUCCUUCUUCUCCCCUCUCUUCCCCUUCCAACAGUAACUGAGAACCAGGUCCUGAAGGCAGGAGGAGGGGAUCCCUUGAUUUGAGGCUUUUUUGGUGAUAUAGGAGAGGGUCUCUUUGGAGCUCAGAGAAAGCAGGUAGGGAUGGGAAGCAGGGUUUCUAGAAGGCUCGUACAAGGGAAGAUGAAUUGUCAACCAUUUCACCAGCUCUCCUAGAGUUAUUCCUGUCUCUCAAGCCAUCUGCUUAUCCAUUGCAAUCUUGUAAACAGAGAUUUACAAGAUCUCUCGUAAACUCCAGCCAAUAUUUGUUCAAAGAAUAAAUAACAAAAGCUUCCAUUUAUAGAUCACUUGCUGCAUGCCAGACAACAUACUAUCUCAUUUAAUCAUUUCAACAACCCUAAGAGGCCAGAAUUAUUAUCAUCAUUAUUUUACAAACAUGGAAUUAAUUCAGAAACCUUAAGCAACUGCCCCAAGGUCCCACCACCACUUAAGUGAUAAAGCUUAAACUGAGCUCUGGCCAGUUCCAAGUUCCCCUUUCCCUCCCAUAGUGCUGUCCAAGGAACAAGGCCCAGACUAAGAUGCUGUAAUAUUGACUCUGUAGGAAUUUAUUUUUUAAACAUUCCAGCCUAAACCAUGUAGUGUGUGUAUAUAAAGUGACUCUCCUGUAACUCCUAGAGUGGUUAGUUAGCAUCUGAAGUGCCCUAAUCAGGAAUCCGCACUCCAGAAAAUGGUUACAUAAGCACUUCAAACAACAUCAAAAUAUACACCCAAGGGCUUAAUGUGCUUGAGGGAUGCUAGAAAUAAUCUUUUAUUGGUGAAAUAAGCAGUUUUCAAAACAUGGAGUUGGCCAGGAAGAUUAUUUGCCCUUGCAUGAAUGGAGUGUGAGAGCCAGAGCAGGCCAACUGCCCCAUUUUCUUGAAGCAGGCUGUGUGACUGUUUUGUGCCAGCUUGCCAAUACAUGUAUAUUUGGCAGAAUUUGGCCUUAACUAUUUUUAAUAUCCCACCUGCAGGAGAUUACAGAAAAGAAGACGAAUGGCCUCCUCUCACCUCUCACGUCCCAUGGCAGCUAAUACAAUCAUUGAAGGACUAAAUUGGCUCAGACCAGUUGACAAGUCCCCAUCCCGGCCUCAUCUUCUUUCACAAGAAUGCCCUAGCAUAUCCUUCAACUCAGGCACAUGAUGGCUUUUCUUCCCAUCUCUCUGUUCCAUCCUCCAUUCUCCUUUGUCAGGUCACUUGUAAUAAUAAGCUAAUAUCCAAAGAAAGGGGCUCUAGGGGUGAUGGUGGGUAUUAUAGUCCCAGCUACCUGGGAGGCUGAGGCAGAAGGACUGCUUGAGCCUAGGAGUUCUGGGCUGCAAUGAGCUAUGAUUGCCACUGCAUUCUAGCUUAGGCAACAGAGCAAGAUCUUAUCUCUUAAAAGAAAACAACAACAACAACAAAAGUUGUAACUUGCCCAAGUCACAUAGCUAAAAAGUGGAAGAGACAUAACUGAAACUCAAGCCUCCUAAAUUCCUAAUGUAGGGUUCAGUCCACCUCUACCACCCUCCCACAGACUGCCAAGGGGUCCUGCUCAGAGUUGGGCAAUGGUGAGAUGCACUCUAUGGCCCCAAACUCAUUGAAAGUAACAACUGAGCUGAAAAAAAUGUGGAGUCUCUUCUGCCCUCUACAGAAGUAACCAGCUAUAGGGGAGAGCAUGCUCCUCCCAUUCCACUCUCCAUGGUGCGUCUCUUUUCACUAUAUAACAAAGUUAUAUUAAAUGAGUUCUGGGCCGAGGUGCGGUGGCUCAUCCCUGUAAUCCCAGCACUUUGGGAGGCCGAGGCAGGAGGAUUUCUUGAGUCCAGGAGUUUGAGACCCCACCUCUACUAAAAAAAAAAAAAAAUUUUUUUUUUUUUUUUUGCUGGGUAUAGUAGCAUGUGCCUAUAGUCCCAGCUGUUCAUGAGGCUGAGAUGGGAGGAUUGCUUGAGCCCAGGAGUUCAAGUUACAGUGAGCUAUGAUUGUGCCACUGCAAUCCAGCCUGGAGAACAGAACAAGAAGAACCUAUGUCCAAAAAAAAAAAAAAAAAAAAAGUGAAUGAAUGAAUUAAUGUCUUCUUAGCAAAAUCCAGAGAACGUGUUUUUGGGCUUCCUUAUGCAACUUCUGGAAUGUUGAAGUGGAUAGCCUGAGCAUUGUCCCACAAAAUGGGGCUAAUCUAUCCCAAUCCCCACGAGCUAUAAAGCUGUUUGCAAGUUCAGCCAUUGAAGUCCCAUUGGCCCAGUUAAAUUCUCACGUUUGGCCUCCUGCACUACCAGCUUUCCUUAGUGUCUGGGCUCUCAAAACUUCUACGUGAGAAUGGCCUGGGGUACUUUAGUUAGAGAUUCAGAUUCAAACCCAGGGUGGGGGUGUUCUUCAUGGUGCCUGGGAUGAGUCUUCCAAGGACCAUUUGGAGAAACAGGCGCUGAUGGUAUUUUGCUUCUGUUCAGUCCUUCACUGACAGAGAGCCUGCAGGGUUGAGGAAGAAGGCUCUGUUUUGAAGUGUGGAUCCCUCCCUGCAAUGGUCUCUAUUUGCAUCUUCUUUACUCCAGGCUCACCUAGCCAAAUGUUGAGUUUUCCAACCCCUCUGGGUAUGAGAUUGCUUUGGGCGAUCUGAGAUCUGCAAAUGUCUGAGAACGAGGAGCACAUGGGCACGCUGAUGACUGCCCUGCAAACUGCCUGGCAGCCAGGGUCCUCCUGGGCCCUCCUUUAAAAUAACAUAUACAUAAGCCGGCCUGGAGGCCCAGGCGGGAAGAUCACUUGAGCUCCGGAGUUCGAGUCCAGCCUGGGCAACAUAGCGAGACCAGAAAAUAAGCAAGUAAGUUACUCUCUGGGCUGUCGUAACUUAUUUUUUCUUUUUCUCCUGCAAAUUGCAACUCAGAACAUUUGGUCUGCCAGACUGAAAUAUGGACUUCUGUUCCAAAUAUCCAGACGUUACAGUUCCCACAGGUGGCCAGGAGAAUGCUGGAACCUUUGGCGGAGACGGUCUGGUCUUGUCCCGCAGCCCGCGAGGGUCCCCCGCUAUUUGGGGUCAAGCAGAUCCCCGGGGCGCUCUGGCCACCCCUUGCGGCAGCUGGUGCGGCCUCCUCGGAGAGCUCCGGGCCGGC